GACAGAGGUGCCAAGCGUUAGGCGGAAUCACUGGGCUUAAAGCGUGUGUAGGCGGAUCGUUAAGUGCCUUGUGAAAUCCCACGGCUUAACCGUGGAACUGCUGGGCAUACUGGCGAUCUUGAGCCACCUAGGGGCAACUGGAACAAACGGUGGAGCGGUGAAAUGCGUAGAUAUCGUUUGGAACGCCAAUGGUGAAAACAGGUUGCUGGGGGUGUGCUGACGCUGAGACACGAAAGCCAGGGGAGCAAACGGG
rnacentral:rRNA from 1 species